rnacentral:rRNA from 1 species
UACAGAGGGUGCGAGCGUUGUUCGGAAUUACUGGGCGUAAAGCGCGCGCAGGCGGCUUCCUAAGUCCGUCGGUGAAAGGCCGGGGCUCAACCCCGUGUCAGCCAUGGAUACUGGGAGGCUGGAGACAGGUAGAGGCAAGCGGAAUUCCGGGUGUAGCGGUGGAAUGCGUAGAUAUCCGGAAGAACACCGGAGGCGAAGGCGGCUUGCUGGACCUGGUCUGACGCUGAGGCGCGAAAGCGUGGGGAGCGAACAGG